AGAGUUUGAUCCUGGCUCAGAGCGAACGCUGGCGGCAUGCUUAACACAUGCAAGUCUGACGGGCCGGGCAACCGGUCAGUGGCGGACGGGUGAGUAACGCGUAGGAACGUAUCCACGGCUGGGGGAUAACGCCUGGAAACGGGCGCUAAUACCGCAUGGGUCCUGAGGGACAAACCCGAGGCGGCUGUGGAGCGGCCUGCGUCCGAUUAGGUAGUUGGUGGGGUAAAGGCCUCCAAGCCUACGAUCGGUAGCUGGUCUGAGAGGACGACCAGCCACACUGGGACUGAGACACGGCCCAGACUCCUACGGGAGGCAGCAGUGGGGAAUAUUGGGCAAUGGGCGAAAGCCUGCCAGCAAUGCCGCGUGGGUGAAGAAGGUCUUCGGAUUGUAAAGCCCUUUCGGCGGGGACGAUGAUGACGGUACCCGCAGAAGAAGCCCCGGCUNNCUUCGUGCCAGCAGCCGCGGUAAUACGAAGGGGGCUACGUUGCUCGGAAUUACUGGGCGUAAAGGGCGCGUAGCGGCGCACCAAGUCAGGCGUGAAAUUCCUGGGCUCAACCUGGGGGCUGCGCUUGAGACUGGUGUGCUUGAGGAUGGAAGAGGCUCGUGGAAUUCCCAGUGUAGAGGUGAAAUUCGUAGAUAUUGGGAAGAACACCGGUGGCGAAGGCGGCGAGCUGGUCCAUUACUGNNGCUGAGGCGCGACAGCGUGGGGAGCAAACAGGAUUAGAUACCCUAGUAGUCC
rnacentral:rRNA from 1 species